GGGUCCGUAGUCUAGCGGUAGGACGCCGCCCUGACGCGGCGGAGAUCCCGGUUCGACUCCGGGCGGACCCA
rnacentral:tRNA from 1 species